rnacentral:rRNA from 1 species
UAGUCCACGCCGUAAACGAUGAGCACUAGUUAUUAGAGGUAUUGACCCCUUUAGUGACGCAGCUAACGCAUUAAGUGCUCCGCCUGGGGAGUACGGUCGCAAGACUAAAACUCAAAGGAAUUGACGGGGGCCCGCACAAGCGGUGGAUUAUGUGGUUUAAUUCGAAGCAACGCGCAGAACCUUACCUAGACUUGAAAUCCUACGAACCUGAUGUAAUUGUCGGGUGCUCGCAAGAGAAUGUAGAGACAGGUGCUGCAUGGCUGUCGUCAGCUCGUGUUGUGAAAUGUUGGGUUAAGUCUCGCAACGAGCGCAACCCUCAUCCUUAGUUGCCAUCAUUUAGUUGGGCACUUUAAGGAAACUGCCGGUGAUAAGCCGGAGAAGGUGGGGAUGACGUCAAGUCCUCAUGGCCCUUACAAGCUGGGCUACACACGUGCUACAAUGCGAUGACAGUGGGCAGCGAAACUCGCGAGAGUAAGCUAAAUCUCUAAAAAGUCGUCUCAGUUC